GACGAACGCUGGCGGCGUGCUUAACACAUGCAAGUCGAACGAUGAACCCGGAGCUUGCUCGGGGGGUUUAGUGGCGAACGGGUGAGUAACACGUGAGUAACCUGCCCUGGACUCUGGGAUAAGCGUUGGAAACGACGGCUAAUACCGGAUAGGAGCUUCGACCGCAUGAUCGGGGGUGGAAAGUUUUUUCGGUCUGGGAUGGACUCGCGGCCUAUCAGCUUGUUGGUGAGGUAGUGGCUCACCAAGGCGUCGACGGGUAGCCGGCCUGAGAGGGUGACCGGCCAGACUGGGUGGGAGAGAGGGACGAGACACCUUCGUGAGGGAGGAGGGGGUGAGGAUGCAUGAAGGGCGGGAGGCAGAUGCAGCAAGGACGGGUGCGUGAGGACGGACGUCGGGUUGUUAGUAGAUUGUAGUAGGGAGGAAGGGCUCCGGCGUGACGGUAACGGCAAAAAAAGGACCGGCUAACUACGUG
rnacentral:rRNA from 1 species